AUGAAUAAUGCUAGUUGCAUCACCAACCGCCUUGCCCCACUUGCAAAGGUUAUAUAUGACAGCAAUACUGAAACUGCUAAGGCUAUCGGCAAAGUGCUUCCUGCUUUGAAUGGAAAGUUGAGUCGUAUGUCAUUUCGUGUCCCAACUGUGGAUGUCGCAGUUGUUGACUUUAUAGUGAGGCUUGAGAAGGAUGCCACCUAUGAUGAGAAGCAGAAAACCAAUUAA